rnacentral:lncRNA from 1 species
ACUCUAGUCUUUCUUUUGAUUUUCCAGCUACUAGAUAUGAUUAAACCUGUAAUAAAUGGAGUGAAGCCUCUAUAUUACAUUCUCCAGGGAGUUUUUUGUGGUAAUUUAUUAAAUAAAAAGAUAAAUUCUGUUGGGCUAAUAUAUUUGUUUUAAUUGAGCUUUGAGGGUGUUGUACAUUUGAAUGACUUUUACCCAGUAGAUACUGAAAUAUGUUUUUUAAUUAUAAGUUUGGUGUACAUAUGUGGGAAACCAGCAAAGUUCCAUAUAGUAUAGUCUUGGCUUAGUGAGAUAAAAGUUAUAGAAGAGGACAUUGGAAAUCUAGCCACACUGUGGCUAAUAGGCUUGGUUCUCUGAAAUAAAAGUAUAAUUCAGGGCCAAUAAUGUGGAAGGCAUUGAGAAGCAUAUCCACCAAGGAGCAACAUUAUGGUCAUUUUGUCUUUGUUAUUACUUACUGCUUUAUUCUGAGAACAAUACAGGCAUUAAAGUUCUAGAAGCUUCACAGAUCAUUAAUCAUCAACAUAAAUUCAGUGAAUUAGAAUUCUUUCUUCAAAAGUAUGUGUCAACUUCAGAUUGCAGAUUUGCCAAAGCUUCAUGUAGAGCCCUUCUCUCUUUUAUCACGAGUAAAAGUUCAGGUUUAAAAUAGAACAACGGAUGACUAAUGCCAUUUCCAGCUGUGACUGAAUUCUCCACUGCCUGAUGCUUUUCAAAUGUAUCUGAAUCAGAAUCGAACACCCACUUUAUGCAUAGCUCCCUAAUCAGGAAGUUAUUCUUCCCAUCAAAGCAACUGGAAAGAAAAAAGAUAAAACAAUGAAGGGAGGAGAAAACACAAAAGUUCAAGAAGAGCAGAAUGUUCCGGCAAGGAGAAAAAGCUGGGAAAAGUCACCAAUGAAUGCCAGGGUUCACCACUAUCUUAGGAAUAUCAUGAAUAAAGCGUUAGAUUGGGUGUGCCCUAACUGAUGGUCACAAGCAUGAUACUAAUUAUCAGGGUGAACAAAGCAGGGGAGUAAGAGCAUCAGUAACUGUGAAACUCUAGGAGUUUGUCUUCAUUCUUUCAGUGAUAGAAUAUCUAGCAUUUGUAUUUCGUACAUCAUACACUUGAGUUAGUAUCUGUGGAAAGGAUAAAUACAUAAGGAAAAGAGAUGCAGGAAGCUGCAGAGACACUGGCCAUUUAUCUGAGAAGUGCCCAAUGAGGCAUCACCGGAUAAGCACACGUCGGGUCGUUCUCCUGCUUCAGUAAGGUCUGUGGCGUUGACAUUAUCAAUGCUAUGGAUGCCUCAAGGCUCUCAUAAAAAUACAUGGCUUCAGCAAUACGCAUGCAGUUAUCUCAGUUUAAAGCAGCCACUAAUCUCAAUUGAAUGCAGCUGUGAAUGCAAAUUGACUGAUGUUAACAGAACUGCUCUGAGAGUUCUCAAAUAAUAUGAGGGUGCAUAGUGUGGAAGGCAGUCACUAAGUUUGGUCUAAUGGAGACCACAUACGAAGAUCUAAUUCAACACCAUGAGUUACCCCCAGAAGUUAAAUAGGUCCCUAAUUCAGCCUGCUGCAUAAGGUUGUAUCAUAAAAGAGAAAUGGGUUCUGCUCCCUGCUUAAUAAGAAAUCCUGCUUACUUCUCCAGCUUUUGAAGCACAGGUUUUAUGUUUGUUUGGGAUAGAAUCUCAUUCUGUCACCCAGGCCAGAGAGCACUGACAUUAUCAUGGCUCACUGCAACCUCAAACUCCCAAGCUCAAGCGAUCCUCCCACCUCAGCCUCCCAAGUAGCUGGGACCACAGAUUCACCUGUUUGCUUCCUAAGACAGAAAAUAAAUAGGAGGAAAAGGAUCAGAGUCAAAAUUCUGAGAAAAAAAAAAAAUCUGGGCCAUCCAUCCAUCACAAGUGUUCCAAGUAGAAGAAUCCCCUGUAAAAGGAGAUGAGCAUGUUCAAGUAUUAAGCACUUAAAAUGAAGAUUAUGUUUGGAAAUCAAAAUAUAAUUUUGAUAACCCAUUAAAAGUAAUGAAAUGGAGAAAACAA